AAACCAACCGGGAUUGCCUCAGUAACGGCGAGUGAAGCGGCAAAAAGCUCAAAUUUGAAAUCUGGCACUUUCAGUGUCCGAGUUGUAAUUUGUAGAAGUAGUUUUGGGACUGGUCCUUAUCUAUGUUUCUUGGAACAGGACGUCAUAGAGGGUGAGAACCCCGUAUGAUGAGGCCCCCAGUCCUUUGUAAAACGCUUUCGAAGAGUCGAGUUGUUUGGGAAUGCAGCUCUAAGUGGGUGGUAAAUUCCAUCUAAAGCUAAAUAUUGGCGAGAGACCGAUAGCGAACAAGUACAGUGAUGGAAAGAUGAAAAGAACUUUGAAAAGAGAGUGAAAAAGUACGUGAAAUUGUUGAAAGGGAAGGGCAUUUGAUCAGACAUGGUGUUUUGCGCCCUUUGCUCCUUGUGGGCGGAGGAUACGCAGCUCACUGGGCCAACAUCGAGUUUUGGGAGCAGGAUAAAUCCUGUAGGAACCGUAGCUUUCUUCGGGAAGUGUUAUAGCCUACGGGAUACUGCUACUGGGA
rnacentral:rRNA from 1 species